CCUACGGGAGGCAGCAGUGGGGAAUAUUGCACAAUGGGGGCAACCCUGAUGCAGCGACGCCGCGUGAGUGAAGAAGUAUCUCGGUAUGUAAAGCUCUAUCAGCAGGGAAGAAAAUGACGGUACCUGAAUAUGAAGCCCCGGCUAACUACGUGCCAGCAGCCGCGGUAAUACGGAGGGGGCAAGCGUUAUCCGGAUUUACUGGGUGUAAAGGGAGCGUAGACGGUGGUGCAAGUCCGGAGUGAAAGCCCAUGGCUUAACCAUGGUACUGCUCUGGAAACUGUGGAGCUAGAGAGCAGGAGGGGCAGGCGGAAUGGCUAGUGUAGCGGUGAAAUGCGUAGAGAUUAGGAGGAACACCGGCGGCGAAGGCGGCCUACUGGACCGUAACUGACGUUGAGGCACGAAAGCGUGGGGAGCAAACAGGAUUAGAUACCCGUGUAGUC
rnacentral:rRNA from 1 species